CGAGUGCGGGCUGCUCCGGGCGCCAACCUCCCACCCGUGACUACCUCACACUGUUGCUUCGGCGGGGAGCCCUCUCGGGGGCGAGCCGCCGGGGACUACUGAACUUCAUGCCUGAGAGUGAUGCAGUCUGAGUCUGAAUAUAAAAUCAGUCAAAACUUUCAACAAUGGAUCUCUUGGUUCCGGCAUCGAUGAAGAACGCAGCGAACUGCGAUAAGUAAUGUGAAUUGCAGAAUUCAGUGAAUCAUCGAGUCUUUGAACGCACAUUGCGCCCCCUGGCAUUCCGGGGGGCAUGCCUGUCCGAGCGUCAUUGCUGCCCAUCAAGCCCGGCUUGUGUGUUGGGUCGUCGUCCCCCCCGGGGGACGGGCCCGAAAGGCAGCGGCGGCACCGUGUACGGUCCUCGAGCGUAUGGGGCUUUGUCACCCGCUCGAUUAGGGCCGGCCGGGCGCCAGCCGACGUCUCCAACCAUUUUCUUCAGGUUGACCUCGGAUCAGGUAGGGAUACCCGCUGAACUUAAGCAUAUCAUAUCCCGGAGGAA
rnacentral:sRNA from 1 species